GCAGUCGAGCGAUCAAUAGGAGCUUGCUCCUGUUGGUUAGCGGCGGACGGGUGAGUAACACGUGGGCAACCUGCCUGUAAGACUGGGAUAACACCGGGAAACCGGUGCUAAUACCGGAUAAUCCUUUUCCUCUCAUGAGGAAAAGCUGAAAGUCGGUUUCGGCUGACACUUACAGAUGGGCCCGCGGCGCAUUAGCUAGUUGGUGAGGUAACGGCUCACCAAGGCGACGAUGCGUAGCCGACCUGAGAGGGUGAUCGGCCACACUGGGACUGAGACACGGCCCAGACUCCUACGGGAGGCAGCAGUAGGGAAUCUUCCACAAUGGACGAAAGUCUGAUGGAGCAACGCCGCGUGAGCGAUGAAGGCCUUCGGGUCGUAAAGCUCUGUUGUUAGGGAAGAACAAGUACCGGAGUAACUGCCGGUACCUUGACGGUACCUAACCAGAAAGCCACGGCUAACUACGUGCCAGCAGCCGCGGUAAUACGUAGGUGGCAAGCGUUGUCCGGAAUUAUUGGGCGUAAAGCGCGCGCAGGCGGUCCUUUAAGUCUGAUGUGAAAGCCCACGGCUCAACCGUGGAGGGUCAUUGGAAACUGGGGGACUUGAGUGCAGAAGAGGAAAGCGGAAUUCCACGUGUAGCGGUGAAAUGCGUAGAGAUGUGGAGGAACACCAGUGGCGAAGGCGG
rnacentral:rRNA from 2 species